rnacentral:rRNA from 1 species
GACGAACGCUGGCGGCGUGCUUAACACAUGCAAGUCGAACGGAAAGGCCCUGCUUUUGUGGGGUGCUCGAGUGGCGAACGGGUGAGUAACACGUGAGUAACCUGCCCUUGACUUUGGGAUAACUUCAGGAAACUGGGGCUAAUACCGGAUAGGAGCUCCUGCUGCAUGGUGGGGGUUGGAAAGUUUCGGCGGUUGGGGAUGGACUCGCGGCUUAUCAGCUUGUUGGGGGGGUAGUGGCUUACCACGGCUUUGACGGGUAGCCGGCCUGAGAGGGUGACCGGCCACCUUGGGACUGCGAUACGGCCCAGACUCCUACGGGAGGCAGCAGUGGGGAAUAUUGCACAAUGGGCGGAAGCCUGAUGCAGCAACGCCGCGUGCGGGAUGACGGCCUUCGGGUUGUAAACCGCUUUCGCCUGUGCCGAAGCGUGAGUGACGGUAAUGGGUAAAGAAGCACCGGCUAACUACGUG